UCCCUUGUGGCUCAGCUGGUAAAGAAUCCACCUGCAAUGCGGGAGACCCAGGUUUGAUCCCUGGCUUGGGAA
rnacentral:tRNA from 1 species